UUUGAAAUCAAGUUUGCCCUUAAGGUAUCCGGUUAUAAGAUCACCGUUCGCGUGCAUUCUUAGACCGUUCAAGCUGGAAUACGACACCAUGACUGUUGAUACACCCUUGAUUAUAGAGUCAUAGUAAGGGGGCAUGUGGAUGCUUAGCAAAUCGUGUUCAUUGACCACAGUGUUGUUUUCAUCUAUUCCGUGAGUUGUCCCACCAUCCGCAACAAAGUGCUUUGCACAAGCAGCUACCUUGUCCCUAACAUGUGCGGAUGCAAAGCAAUCGACAUAUGGAACACCCAGCCGUGAUCCCUCGGGAAUUUCGCCUUGCAAUCCUAAUAUAAUCUCAGUCAUACUUUCAACAAGUUUGGUAUCCUCACCGUAACUCUCAUAACAUCGUCCCCAUCUUGGAUCU
rnacentral:lncRNA from 1 species